UUAUGUUUCCGGUUAAUACAAUUCUAGCAUGAAUAAUAAACAUUUAUCAUGAUACAAGGAAAUAAAUAAUACUUUAUUAUUGCCUCUAGGGCAUAUUUCCUUCAGCUGCUCUCUCUCUCUCUCUGUUAUGGCCAUGUUUAGUGCUUCCGUUUAGUCCAAAGGGAGUAGCUCAAUUGUGUCCUGCAUAAAUUAGAUCUUUCCGAAAACAUUUUAACCUGGAUCCACCUUGGUUCGGUAUGUGAUUAUAAUCACACCUUAUAAAAAAUAUGAAUGGGCAAGAUGUGGCCAUCUAGAGUAGAAUUUGGUUCAUUCAUUAAUGUAGAAAGACAGGGGUCAAAGUGAUCUUUUUCCAAGGUAAUCACCAUUGUUUUGUUUUAGGCUUAUGUGCUUGAUGUUUUUUAGGAUCUCUGUCAAUAAGGGGAUAUAUCAAGGUAGUGUGUUGUGUUCUAAUUGUAAAUGAAGAGAAAGUUAAGAACUUCAUAGUUACAAUGUAAUCAUGGCUAGAGCGUAGAGGUUAGAGAUGUACAAAUGAUUGAUUAUAUAUAUAUAUAUUUGUACUUGUAACAACACACUUAGUAUUCGUGACCCGGGUAAGGAGCAAUUCAUGCCCGUCCAAGCAUUGUCCUUAAGCUACUGCAGAUCUUAGGGAGCGUCAUCAACGGAUUCGUAUUGCCACUUAAGGAAGAGCAUGAAUUGUUCCUUACCUGGGCCUUGAUUCCACUUCACAAGCCAAGUGCAUUGCAAUGUACCAUCAACAGUUGUCUUACUACAUUACCCAGUUUGUCGAAAAAGAUUGCAAGCUUUCAUACACAGUUAUCAAGGGCCUACUGAAAUAUUGGCCCAUUAGAAACAGCACCAAGGAGGUGAUGUGUUUGGGAGAGUUGGAAGAGAUACUAGAAGCUACACAGCCUGCGGAGUUUCAGAAAUGCACGGUUCCUCUUUUCCGCCAGAUUGCAGGUUGUCUGAAUAAUUCUCACUUUCAGGACUGUUUGGGAUAUCAAGCAGAAAAUUGUUCUUGGCAUGGCUGUCAAUCGUGGCUGCUACAUUGGUCAAAGCCAGAGCCUUAAUAUCAGCAUGGGUCAAGUCAACUCCGAGAAGCUAACUUCACUGCACUUCCACGCCUGGUCCAAGGAGCGCUGCCUUUCAAGUAGAAGAAGAGAGUGUUACAAAUAGUUUACACAAGGCUUUUCCCUACAAGAGUCUGGAGGCGGGGGAGCCUCUCAAACAUCACCGGCAUGCGGAUUACUCGCGAAUGAGAAAGCAACUGGAUCUUGGUGCCUUUCUGCUCUGCUAAGGUUUGGAAAGCACAGGCCACCCCCAAAUGCAAGCUCUUCGCCUGGCUUGUCCUGCAUGGAAGAAUCCUCACGGUGGAAAGCCUAGCAAUUCUGAAACUGUACUUGCAAAGGUGGGUUGGAGAGGAAAUUGUCGAUGCUCAAGCCAUGUGAAGAAGUGGAGCAAGAAGAGUGAAUCAGGAAAACUGGGAACACGUCUAUUUUUUAUGGCUUGUCCUUAGGUUGUAUUUGUUGUGGCGAAUUGACCGAGUUUUCUUACCGCUGUCGAUGCUGGCCAAUAAUGAAUCAUUGAGGAAUGUUGAACCAUUAAGAGUUGAAUUUAGGGUCUACUUAUUGUCGUAGUAUUGUAUAGUUUUAGCAUCUCCAUUGCCUGUUGUUCUCUUAUUAGCUUUUAUAAUCUCAUCAUGAUCGUGUUGAAUGUUUCUUCUUUCUCUCAUAUACCAGAAAACAAUUGUCAUGUCGAAUACAUGUGGUAAACUUACCUUUUUACUAAAGCAUCAUGCCAUGUAAUCUCUUGACUGUACUGAACCCAAUGUUGCUUGCUUUUGUGACAUAUUAUAUUUUAUAAUCU